rnacentral:rRNA from 1 species
UAAAGCGCACGCAGGCGGUUUGUUAAGUCAGAUGUGAAAUCCCCGGGCUCAACCUGGGAACUGCAUCUGAUACUGGCAAGCUUGAGUCUCGUAGAGGGGGGUAGAAUUCCAGGUGUAGCGGUGAAAUGCGUAGAGAUCUGGAGGAAUACCGGUGGCGAAGGCGGCCCCCUGGACGAAGACUGACGCUCAGGUGCGAAAGCGUGGGGAGCGAACAGGAUUAGAUACCCUGGUAGUCCACGCCGUAAACGAUGUCGACUUGGAGGUUGUGCCCUUGAGGCGUGGCUUCCGGAGCUAACGCGCUAAGUCGACCGCCUGGGGAGUACGGCCGCAAGGUUAAAACUCAAAUGAAUUGACGGGGGCCCGCACAAGCGGUGGAGCAUGUGGUUUAAUUCGAUGCAACGCGAAGAACCUUACCUGGUCUUGACAUCCACGGAAGUUUUCAGAGAUGAGAAUGUGCCUUCGGGAACCGUGAGACAGGUGCUGCAUGGCUGUCGUCAGCUCGUGUUGUGAAAUGUUGGGUUAAGUCCCGCAACGAGCGCAACCCUUAUCCUUUGUUGCCAGCGGUCCGGCCGGGAACUCAAAGGAGACUGCCAGUGAUAAACUGGAGGAAGGUGGGGAUGACGUCAAGUCAUCAUGGCCCUUACGACCAGGGCUACACACGUGCUACAAUGGCGCAUACAAAGAGAAGCGACCUCGCGAGAGCAAGCGGACCUCAUAAAGUGCGUCGUAGUCCGGAUUGGAGUCUGCAACUCGACUCCAUGAAGUCGGAAUCGCUAGUA